ensembl:lncRNA
CCCUACACCCUCGCCCCUACACCCUCGCCCCUACACCCUAGACCAUUUCACCAGGUCAAAUUCCUCAUACAUGUAAAUCAGGGUUUCUCGAAAGACGGAACAAUCAAAAAACCUUUUAGCCCAAAUAUUUUUUUUCUUCAUAAUAACAACAUUUUAAAUAUAUAUUUUAAUAAUAAACCAAAGUAUUAGCUAUCACACCUUUGUAAAGGAACAACCUCCUAAUGAUGACCUUUUUUUCAUAGUAAAACUCCUUCAGACAUGAAAGGCCUUAUGUUUUUACUGUCCGACGAGUGUUUAAUGGCCUUGUUUCCUUCUAACAUUGUAGCUUGUUUAAUGGCUUUGUUUCCUUCUAACAUUGUAGCUUGUUUAACAUUGUAGCUUGUUUAAUACAGAUCUCAAUGUCUUUUUUUGUGUUUGGUUUUAUACCAUUGUAUAAUUCUCCAGGGUUCAUUUCAUUAGCAUUUUUUGGAAUGUUUUUCUAGAUUAAGAAAAUUAAACAAGAUUUGUAAAGUUAGGUUUAUCCUGAUUUUCACAGCACAGCAAACAGUUCAAUAGUUUAAGCAUAUUUUGCAGGACUAUUAUUAACAUAUUGUUUCAGAAUAUAAAAUAUAAUAUAUAUAUAUGCAUAUACAUAUACUGUAUAUAUACUGUAUAUGUCUUAAGUGGGAUAGCAAUAAGUGACAGAGUUGACAAGGAACUGACGGAGGUGACGGAGGUGACGGAACUGACGGAGGUGACGGAACUGACGGAGGUGACGGAACUCACGGAGGUGACGGAACUGACGGAGGUGACGGAACUGACGGAACUGACGGAGGUGACGGAACUGACGGAGGUGACGGAACUGACGGAGGUGACGGAAGUGACAGAACUGACGGAACUGACGGAGGUGACGGAACUGACGGAACUGACGGAGGUGACGGAACUGACGGAAGUGACGGAACUGACGGAGGUGACGGAAAUGACGGAGGUGACGGAACUGAUGGAGGUGACGGAAGUGACGGAACUGACGGAGGUGACGGAGGUGACGGAACUGACGGAGGUGACGGAACUGACGGAGGUGACGGAACUGACGGAGGUGACAGGUGACGGAACUGACGGAACUGACGGAACUGACGGAGGUGACGGAGGUGACGGAACUGACAGAGGUGACGGAGGUGACAACUCAAAACAGACAUUUAUUUGUCGAUUAAAACAACAAAAAAGUUCAAUACAAAAAUGUGUAAAAUUAUUUUGUUUGAAAAAUCCCUCAAUAACAUGAUCAGAUCAAUAACAUGAUCAGAUCUUUCAGAUUUUCUGACAGAGUUGAUGUUGUACUAAUUGCAUAUUUUUUACUAAUUUAGUCAAGUGGUAUACUACGUAGCAAUUUUGUUUUUUGCUCAAUUGCUUUUUUUGGCUCUAAAACCUAAUUAAAUUUAACAUAUUCUACAUUAAUUUUAUACCUUUAUUUAACUAGGCAAGUCAGUUAAGAACAAAUUCUUAUUUUCAAUGACGGCCUAAGAACUGCAGUUUCAGGGGCAGAACGACAGCUCAGGGAUUUGAACUUUGCAACCUUCCGGUUACUAGUCCAACGCUCUAACCACUAGGCUACCCUGCCGCCCCAUCUAUAAUCUAUAAGGUAGAUGGAGUUGACUGGUUGUGACCAUGGGGGGGGGAUCAAUAAUAUUUGUUUAAUGUAGCUGCCCAUUCUCGUUCCUGAAUAAUUUGAGUUGACCAAAACUCCAAACAGUUCUGAGAUAAAUAUUCCUUGACGUCAGAGAAGGGACAUGAUAUCCUACUUCAGUUAAUAUCCAUUAUUCUCAGUUUGUUGGAAAUGGAAAUUAAUAAUAUUGAAAAUAUUUAGGAAAAUUACCCUGAAUAAAAAUAUUUUUCCUCAUAAAAUUCCCCUAAAUGUAAUUUUUUUAGCCUAGUGGUUAGAGCGUUGGACUAGUAACCAGAAGGUUGCAAGUUCAAACCCACGAGCUGACAAGGUACAAAUCUGUUGUUCUGCCCCUGAACAGGCAGUUAACCCACUGUUCCUAGGCCGGCAUUGAAAAUACUAGUUAAAUAAAGGUUAACUAAAAAAAAAUGUUUAAAAAAAUAAAUAAUAGAUUGUCCUGACUUUCAAGAAUCCCUGAAUGACAUUCUGAGUGUAUCUAAGGGUCAGGGGACAGGCUAGAAGAGACGUGUCUAAGGGUCAGGGGACAGGCUAGAAGAGAAGUGUCUAAGGGUCAGGGGACAGGCUAGAAGAGAAGUGUCUAAGGGUCAGGGGACAGGCUAGAAGAGAAGUGUCUAAGGGUCAGGGGACAGGCUAGAAGAGACGUGUCUAAGGGUCAGGGGUCAGUUUGGGACAGGGUGCCUCUCUCUCUCUUGUGCUUCUGUGACUUUAUUCUUCUAUUUCCAUCGGAUGAGACAACAACAACAGCAAAAAGGUUCCAGUUUCUCGUGGAAUGCCGCUCUAUACUGAACGUAACGUAGUGUGUUCAUCUUCUCUCUCUCUCCUUCCAAAUCAUGUUUUACUGGAAGUUGAAAUAACAUUAUAGAGAUCAUUUUACAUAGGAAGUUAAAAAAUGCCUAAACGUUACUAAAUGUCCUGUAAAAUAUGUAAUGGUUGUUAUUAUUAUUAUUAGUUGUUGAUUAUUGGCAUCAGAAGUCGGAAGGGAGUCGGUACAAUUAUAGAAAUAGGAUGACUAGAACGGAGGUGCCAUUCAAGUCGAUGGGUCCAAGAGGUGGACUGGCGGCCAUGAUUCUAUUUCUAUGGGAACAAUGUAUCUGUAUUGUAAGCUUCUGUUCUAUCCUUCCUGUUUCCAUGGAUUCCCCCUUCCUGUUCCCCUCCUUCCUGUUUCCUGUUCCCCCCCACAAAAAAAACUUUCUUUGCACUUCCAUUUUGUUUUGCAUAUUGUAAAUAUCUCUGUACAUUAUUUAUUCGCAGUCUUUAUGUAAUAAUGGUGAAUGACAGUUUAAAAGUGACAAUCAUCUUUUAUGGGUUUGUUGAUUUGAUUAUGUUGUUGUUGCUGUUGUUUUUUUUGUCAUUAUUGUACGAUGGAUAAAUUACACUGUAAAAAGCAUAUAAAUGUAUCUGCAGUAUAAAAAAACAAAAGAUU